rnacentral:rRNA from 1 species
UACAGAGGUGGCAAGCGUUGUUCGGAAUUACUGGGCGUAAAGGGCGCGUAGGCGGUUCGUUAAGUCCUGUGUGAAAUCCCUCGGCUUAACCGGGGAACUGCGUCUGAUACUGGAUGGCUUGAGUUCGGGAGAGGGAUGCGGAAUUCCAGGUGUAGCGGUGAAAUGCGUAGAUAUCUGGAGGAACACCGGUGGCGAAGGCGGCAUCCUGGACCGACACUGACACUGAGGAGCGAAAGCCAGGGGAGCAAACGGG